GGGGAAUAUUGGACAAUGGACGAAAGUCUGAUCCAGCGACGCCGCGUGGAGGAAGAAGUCCUUCGGGAUGUAAACUCAUGAAGCUAACGAAUAAGACGGAAGGGGAACCUUCCGGGAGAAGGUAAUUAGUGAAAAGCCCCGGCUAACUACGUGCCAGCAGCCGCGGUAAUACGUAGGGGGCGAGCGUUGCCCGGAAUUACUGGGCGUAAAGGGUGCGUAGGCGGUUUAUCAAGUCAGGGGUGAAAGGCUACGGCUCAACCGUAGUGAGCCUCUGAAACUGGUGAACUUGAGUGUAGGAGAGGAAAGUGGAAUUCCCAGUGUAGCGGUGAAAUGCGUAGAUAUUGGGAGGAACACCAGUGGCGAAGGCGACUUUCUGGACUACAACUGACGCUGAGGCACGAAAGCGUGGGGAGCAAACA
rnacentral:rRNA from 1 species